AUUGAACGCUGGCGGCAUGCCUUACACAUGCAAGUCGAACGGUAACAGGUCUUCGGAUGCUGACGAGUGGCGAACGGGUGAGUAAUACAUCGGAACGUGCCUAGUAGUGGGGGAUAACUACUCGAAAGAGUAGCUAAUACCGCAUGAGAUCUACGGAUGAAAGCAGGGGAUCGCAAGACCUUGUGCUACUAGAGCGGCUGAUGGCAGAUUAGGUAGUUGGUGGGAUAAAAGCUUACCAAGCCGACGAUCUGUAGCUGGUCUGAGAGGACGAUCAGCCACACUGGGACUGAGACACGGCCCAGACUCCUACGGGAGGCAGCAGUGGGGAAUUUUGGACAAUGGGCGAAAGCCUGAUCCAGCAAUGCCGCGUGCAGGAUGAAGGCCUUCGGGUUGUAAACUGCUUUUGUACGGAACGAAAAGCUUUGGGUUAAUACCCUGGAGUCAUGACGGUACCGUAAGAAUAAGCACCGGCUAACUACGUGCCAGCAGCCGCGGUAAUACGUAGGGUGCAAGCGUUAAUCGGAAUUACUGGGCGUAAAGCGUGCGCAGGCGGUUUUGUAAGACAGAGGUGAAAUCCCCGGGCUCAACCUGGGAACUGCCUUUGUGACUGCAAGGCUAGAGUACGGCAGAGGGGGGUGGAAUUCCGCGUGUAGCAGUGAAAUGCGUAGAUAUGCGGAGGAACACCGAUGGCGAAGGCAACCCCCUGGGCCUGUACUGACGCUCAUGCA
rnacentral:rRNA from 1 species